rnacentral:rRNA from 1 species
UACAGAGGUCCCAAGCGUUGUUCGGAUUUACUGGGCGUAAAGGGUUCGUAGGUGGCCAACUCAGUCAGACGUGAAAUCCCUCAGCUCAACUGGGGAACUGCGUCUGAUACUGGAUGGCUCGAGUGCAGGAGAGGAACGCGGAAUUCCAGGUGUAGCGGUGAAAUGCGUAGAUAUCUGGAGGAACACCGGUGGCGAAGGCGGCAUCCUGGACCAAUACUGACGCUGAAUAGCGAAAGCCAGGGGAGCAAACGGG